GAUUAUUACAUGCCACAAAUACACCACCUUUAUUACAUUAUGUCAGACUGGUACUAAUUAUACAUACUCACUGGUACAACUCAACUUUCCUUAUUUAAUUUACAUAAGGAAACCACCACCUACUAUACUACUCUAGUUAUCUUCAUCCUUGGCUGCUCCCGCUCCACUGCCAACUUCGGGAGAACGAUCAUCUGCGAGAUUCAUGGAAGAAGGGGCUCCAAAGAGAUCCAACUCCCCAUAUGAUCCUCCGCCAACUGCUCCUGACGUUCCGGCUCCCAUUGCUGCAACCUCCGGUGGUACGUUCGGAUGCAACUGGUCGUAUAACACGUGCACUUCCUCAUGCAAACUAUUAUUGUAUGCUUGCAGAUUCUCCAGGGCUACGCUUAGCUCCAUUACCCGGGCUCGGGCAUUCGCCUCGCAAUUCCAGUCUAUAGAUUGUGAAUUUAUAGCCCAGUCUAUAGCCCUGUCUCAUUCCACGAUCUCCCUGUAAAGUAUUUUAAAAUAUUUUGAAGCACUAAGUAAUGUCUGAAGAAACAGGCUUUGUUCCAAUACCAGCUGUGACAGAACCUCCCAAGGUAUUAGGCCCACCUACAUAUGUCCUUGUCCUAAGGACCUUAGACAGUCACGCAGGUGUGCAUAAUGACUCGACAAAUUCGAUUAUCUGUAUCGCCAUCUCAUGGCCCAAGAGCGCUUAACCCAUUACGCAGACAUUACAAAUCAUCGGAGUAAGGAAUAAGUGGAACGGAUUACAAUAACAUAAUGUAGACUUAAUGCUACAUGUAAGUCAGUGACUAAGUCUUCAUGUCCGAGAAGUAACGGUGAUCCGAAUCGAUUAAUACCCAGCUCGGAAUCUCCAACCACACGACAUAUGUAGCACUUAACCCUUGCAUAUGUCAACUCGCACCUGGGUUUCUCAAGACCAGAAUGGGUUCACGCCAACCGAGAGCACAGAUUCUCCACCGUCCAGCCUCUUGCCAUGGAGGGCACACGCUACUGUCGCCAUCUCUCCUCUCCCAUUGUGUGGUGGCCUUUCUGGUAUUGGUUCGACAGAGGCAAAGCUUACCCAUGAUAAGGCAUAUGGCCAGUUAAAAGGUCCUCGGUCAGCACGCCUACAUCGGCUCGGUCCUUAAGCGACUCAGACGGAGACACUACACCGAGACUCCCUUCUCGUGAAAGUCACCCGCCCGGUCUCGUCUUUAUUAUUUAAGACCUCAAAGUUUAGUACCUGGCAGAGGUACUUCUUUUCAGAUGUUGAACCCAUCACGACCGUGAUGGAUCCACCAUCAUCAGUAUCUUCUGUGUAAAACAAUCCCCAUCCAGUGUGAAGCAUCAUCUUUUGUUUUAAAAUAAAACAUUUUAUUUUUCUAGAGCAAGGCUAAGCAUCAUAAAAAUCCUUUUCAUAAAAGGGUAUCAAGGAAUGGUAAUCCAUUUUCCAAGGAAGGAAAUGCAUCAACUGUUUAGCACACAACUCUUGUCAUCUAAUGCAUCAUAUGAGGUUAUAAAGGUUUUAAACAACAAGGAAAGGGAUAAUGCACUGGGGCUUGCAUUGUGUUGCAGGAGGUUCUGGUUCCACACCGCAAAUGUCGAAGUAAAAGUUGUUCUCCGCUGGAAUAUUCUCAGUCUCGGAGACAACCUCUUCUUCUACUACGGUUUCUUCCUCGUGUUCUAUACAUGAUAAUACAUGUAUAUGAAUGCUUAUGCUAUGUCAUGAAUAUGCAGUUACAUAAUAAAAAAUAUAAUAAGUUGCAUCUUGAAUACAACUUUCAUUCAUGGUACAACUAAUCACUAAGGUUUUCUAAUUAGAUAUUUCUUUAGGAUUAGUAUUAAGUAACUAACCCUUUGAGGCUAGUUGUUGGGUUUUUGAGCAAACAGUCCAAAUCAUUUCAAACUUCACUCACAGGCUCUAAUCAUCAUAUUAAGCCUACUUAAAAAGUUUUAUGAUUUUUGGAAUUACUAAACUAUUGCUAAAAUUCUAAAAGGCUUGGUUUAAGCACCUUUAAAUGCUACAUAAUUCUAGGGUUGGGAAAAAAUCUGGAAAUUAUUUUUAUUAAAAACUAUGUGAUUUUAGGAAUCUAAAAAAUUGGUCUCAUGAUUUUACCAUUUUCUACUAUUUUCUACAGAUUUCCCGAGUUGGCAGUAAAAAGAAAAAGAUAAACCAUGAAUAGUGACAAGCCGGAUCUGGCCCAAGUCGGCCCACGAAUAGGGGAAAAGGCGCGCGCCUGCGCCUUGGUUUGCGUCGGGGCUCCAAGGGUUUCAAACAAUCAUGAAACGCCCGCUGGUACUGUUCUAAUGUGUCACUGACAUUUUCACUUAAACUCUUCCCUUCUUCCUUCACACGACCAGGCCUCCGACCACGGACGGCGGCGUGAUUACUCCGGCGAACCUACAUAGGCCGCCAUACUUCAUAAUACAUGCUCAAAUUUGCUCUUACCCCUAAUUCCACUCUUGGCGCCACACCAGGGAUCGAAAAUCAGGCAUGAACUGAAUCCAAGAGCUCAGUCUAUGAGCACCUGCGGACCAGAAAUCUUCACGGACUCGUUCGCAGUGAUACAACGUGGUAUCAUUCGAAGUGAGAGUACGAUAAGCUUUGGUAACUCACCUGGACUCAAGGACGAUGGUCAGGAAGACGAGUGAAAGGAUAGAGCGGUGAGUCAACGGAGGGAGUGUCCACGGCGGCGUUCCAUGGUGGCGACACAGUGUUCCGGGGUUCCGGCUGUGGUAGAGUUCAAUUGGGCGUGUCGAUGAGCAUCACGAUAUGUAAGAGAACUCAAAACACUCACAAGCCCAACCCAAGUUACCUCAGAGAGCUUUAUCCACGGCGAGACGUCUCGCAACGGCGCGGAUGACCGAUUUGGGGGGAUUUUCGAAUUCCCGGGGUAUGGUGGAUGGCAGGAUAUGUUUGGGGUUGUGUUUGGUUUGUGACAAGGGGGCGGAGCAAGGGAAUUCUCAAUU
rnacentral:lncRNA from 1 species